GACGAACGCUGGCGGCGUGCCUAAUACAUGCAAGUAGAACGCAGUUGCGAACGGGUGAGUAACGCGUAGGUAACUGCCUCAUAGCGGGGGAUAAAUAUUGGAAACGAUAGCUAAUACCGCAUUCUGUGAGAUGGACCUGCGUUGUAUUAGCUAGUUGGUGAGGUAAAGGCUCACCAAGGCGACGAUACAUAGCCCACCUGAGAGGGGUUGCGGGCACACGGGGACGGUGUGUCGGCCCAAACUCCUACGGGAGGCAGCAGUAGGGAGUUGUCGGUCAUGGACGGAGUUCUGACGGAGAAACGCGGCGUGCGUGAAGAAGGUUGUCGGAUCGUAACGCUCUGGUGUUAGAGAAGCGGUAACUAGCCAGAAAGGGAGGGCUAACUACGUGCCAGCAGCCGCGGUAAUAC
rnacentral:rRNA from 1 species